rfam:Felis catus isolate Cinnamon breed Abyssinian chromosome X, whole genome shotgun sequence.
CUGUGUGCAGCACCCUGCCCAGAAAUGCACGGAUUACGUGGUCUGUGUGUAGUCCGUGCAUUUCUGGGUAGAGCGAUGCUCUACAA